UAGCGCGGUGGUCCCACCUGACCCCAUGCCGAACUCAGAAGUGAAACGCCGUAGCGCCGAUGGUAGUGUGGGGUCUCCCCAUGUGAGAGUAGGGAACUGCCAGAC
rnacentral:rRNA from 3 species